rnacentral:rRNA from 1 species
CGACCGGCGCACGGGUGAGUAACGCGUAUCCAACCUCGCCCACCACUUGGGAUAACCUUGCGAAAGUAAGACUAAUACCCAAUGAUAUCUCUAGAAGACAUCUGAAAGAGAUUAAAGAUUUAUCGGUGAUGGAUGGGGAUGCGUCUGAUUAGCUUGUUGGCGGGGUAACGGCCCACCAAGGCGACGAUCAGUAGGGGUUCUGAGAGGAAGGUCCCCCACAUUGGAACUGAGACACGGUCCAA